rnacentral:rRNA from 1 species
UGGGGAAUAUUGCACAAUGGGCGAAAGCCUGAUGCAGCGACGCCGCGUGAGGGAUGACGGCCUUCGGGUUGUAAACCUCUUUCAGCAGGGACGAAGCGCAAGUGACGGUACCUGCAGAAGAAGCACCGGCUAACUACGUGCCAGCAGCCGCGGUAAUACGUAGGGUGCAAGCGUUGUCCGGAAUUACUGGGCGUAAAGAGUUCGUAGGCGGUUUGUCGCGUCGUUUGUGAAAACCAGCAGCUCAACUGCUGGCUUGCAGGCGAUACGGGCAGACUUGAGUAGUGCAGGGGAGACUGGAAUUCCUGGUGUAGCGGUGAAAUGCACAGAUAUCAGGAGGAACACCGGUGGCGAAGGCGAGUCUCUGGGCAGUAACUGACGCUGAGGAACGAAAGCGUGGGUAGCGAACAGG